rnacentral:rRNA from 1 species
AUGAAGCAGAAAUCACAGGGGAUUUCUAGUGGCAUUUACAGAUACACGCACCGCUGCGAGAGUGGAGUUAAUAUUCAUGAUAUCUUUGUUGAGAGGAGCGCGUUCCGGGUGCUGUUUUCAUAUGUCGGUGCGACAUGUCUUCUUGCGAAUGUUUGCCGUACCUUGUUGUCAAAGGAGAGUUUAUGCCUUGGUUCCUUUUGGAGCGUUCCAUUUUCUGCUAUCAUCUCUAAAUGCUUGCAAUACAAUCCUGUGAAGAAAGAGUCAUUGGUGAUCAUGCCAGCUUUUGGUAUUCAGCUAGAACAACACUUUUGGAGUGGAAGAGUAGAUCGCAAGUUUGUGCCCAUCAGCAAGAUCCUACAGCCGGUGCUGAAUGAGUGCGUGACCCCUGUUACCUGCUACUGGAGCUUGGCAUUGCUUCUACGCGAUGAAGACGAGACCAUGCUCGUUUUUCAGAACCUGCAUCCACCCGUCAAACUGUUGCUCCCAAUCUGGAAAGCUCUGUGCGCAUUCACAAACACCGGCAGCAUUAGCCCUUCCGUGGUUCUUCGACAAGAUGAUUUGCACAAACAUGUUGAUCAAGAUGGUGCUGUGGACUCCUGA